GGAUGGGGGCUGGGGCUGGGGCUGGGGCUGGGGCUGGGGGAUUAGGUAACUGGGUUGCAGGCAUAUAAUAGGAUUGCUGAUGAGACACAUUCUGAGGUGGGGUCUGGGGGGUCGGAGCCACAGGCUGUUGUUGGGGGGCGACUUGAUGAGGGAGGGUCUGGGGGAGCGGAGCCACAGGCUGUUGUUGGGGAGCAACUUGAUGAGGGAGAGCAAGAGCUAACUGCUGAUUUUGCAUGUCAGCGGUUGUAUUUUCACCCCUUUUAGGCUCAGAAGCAGCUGGUGAUGCUCUCUCCUCAUUUGAUUGCGAAUGG
rnacentral:lncRNA from 1 species